AUUGUGCCUGCCUCACCUCCCCACUCUCCCCGGCUAAUUACCAGAAACAUUUAUCGAGUGCCUAUGGCAUGUCAGGCACAGUUCAAGUUCUGAGGAUACAGAGUAAACAACAGGCAACAUCACGCCUCCUCGAGCUUCUGUUCUACUGGGAGUCAGGGUAGGAAGAGACGACAACAAGGUAAAUAAGUCAAAUCCGGACUGUGUUACUGACAAUGCAAGCUAGGAGAAAAAAGGAAGCAGGAGCAGAGAGGAGCCUGGGUGAUGAUGGAGAUGGGGAGUUUACUUAAAUAGGUGGCCAUGAGGCUAUCCAGCCUGUCCCAGGCGGACUUUUAGAAGACGGAUUGUUUAUAAGAGCCCAAAAGUAUAAGUUCUUAAAAAAAAUUAAUUUCUGAAUGUGUGAUGAGAACACAAAUUCCUCCACGACAGCCCUGUUUUUCCUGUGCUGCGUAGCUGAGCUCUGGGUCACGGCUGCCGAGUGCAGGCAACACUCGGGCAGUCCCAGGGCUGACCGACUGCGCAUCUGGACACUGGCAAUCACAGGGAAGGAGGCGAGAGCUCUGCCGGGUGCUUUGAGGCUGUCGCGUCAUGUCUUCCUCCCCACAGCGUUCUGCGGGGCCUGUCCCCUUGGUGUUGUGGCACCUCCUGGUCCUCGGCUCUGCUCUUGGGGAAGAAAGAGGACACUGUCACAGGUUCCUGUCCCCUCCAGCCAACAGGAGCAGCCACACGUGGCAUCUGCCCUCGAAGCUCUGUGGCAUCCCUGCCGUAGGAGAAGUUACCAAGAAACCCCCAGAGCCCACAGGCUGGAGCCCCCCCAGGUUCUGCUCAGCGGGGAGAGGCAGAUUGAGUCCAAAUUUUCCAUUUUAACUGGAAUCCUAGGGGUUAAACCUGGCUGUGACUUGGCAAUGGCCCCUUGUCCGUGCUGUUCCACAGGGGGUGUCCCCCUUCCCCAGGCCCUGCCCCAAUGUGGCUCCAGGGCCUCUGCUCCCAGCAGGUCUCACCUGGGACAGAGGUGGGGGUGGGGCAAGAGGAACCAAGCCAGGAAGCUGCAGAAAUAGCUCUGGGGGUGGGAGGGCGUGGUGCUGCCGAAGGCCGAACACCCACGCAGGGUGUUGUCUCUCCACCCUCCCAGGCCGAGGGGAUUUCUCAAACGCAGGCCUCCUUCCCAGGAGGUAGGCCUGUGUCCAGUGAGGGCCCUGCCCAUCCAGGCCUCUGUUUCCUGUCACUGUUCUCAAAAGCUGGGCCCAGCUGUGGCGGGGACAGCUAUGUCCGGCUGCCCGUGGUCCCUUGAGAACCGGCCAGGCUGCCCCUGUGCCUGGCACAUGCUCACCUGGACCCUCCAGCCAGCAUCUGGGCUCCAUCUGACCCCACCCCACAGGGCUCAAGCCAGCUCCAAGCAUGAGUGUGGCCGAGGCCAGGUCUGUCUUCAGGGUCCCUUCCUCAUCUCCACGGCCUUUUCCUGUCCCAGCUCACCCACAGGGGGCCAUUUCUGCCCCACACAGGACUCCCUGUGAACCAAGGCUGCACAUGCUUCUGGGUGCCCCUCUCUGGGCAGCUGGAGGGCAGAAGGAGCACCUGGCAGGUUCAGACCUGCAUCCUGGCUCGAGGCUGUCUCCCCAUCUGCCACAGUAAGCAUCCGUCGUGGUUGGCAGGAGACUGAUCGUGGUCAUCUAUCCAGGACUGGGUUGACAGGAAGCCACCAUCUUAGACUGUCAGCUUCCAUUUCAGAGGGAAGGAGCCCUGUGGACGUUCUCACACCAGCAUUCAGAAGCUCUUGCUGGGAAGUGUCACAAGUCACCUGUGCUCCCUGGCUAGGAGUAGUCCGUUGGCCACCCAAACACCUGGGGGCUGGCCAGGAAGGCAGUCACACAGGGGCCCACCAUGGGUCUGCCCAGUUCUCAGGCACCAGACCACACCCAAGCAGGACCCCUCCUCCCCUGCUUCCCCCUCCUGUCCCCACCAAAGCCACAUGGCAGGCAGAUCACAUGUCACAGAGCUCAGGGCCAGGCCUGCCCAGAUCCUGAGGCUGGGCCACCCCUGAGAGCUUCCUAUGUGAGAUGUCCACUUUUUUACAUUUAAAUUUUACUUUUAAAAUUCUAAAUUGAUAAAUUACAGUUGUAUGUAUUUAUGGGUACAAAGUGAUGUGAUGACUGAUGAAUACAACGUAGAAAAUUAAAUCAAGUAAUUAACAUAUCCAUCCCCUCACAUACUCAUCACUUGUUGUGGUAAGGACAUUUGAAAUUUACUCUCCUGGUGAUUUUGGAAUGUACAAUACAUUAUUACUUACAUAUUUACCACACUGUGCAAUGUAUCUCAAAGAAAAGAAAACUUAUGGUGCACACCUGUAAUCCCAGCCUUACAGGAGGACAAGCGCAGGAGGAUCCUUUGAGCCCAGGAGAUUGAGACCAGCCCGCGCAACACAGCGAGACCCCAUUUCCUAAAAACAAAAACAAAACAUAUAUUGCUCCUGCCUAACUGAGACCCUGUGCCCUUUGACUGUCAUCUCCUCACUCCCCUCACCAGCUCUCCCACAGCCUCUGGCACCAUUCUGCUCUCUGCCUCUUUAAGUUUGAUUGUUUUCCAUCCCACAUACAAGUGAGAACCUGCGGUAUUUGUCUUUCUGUGCCUGGCUUAUUUCACUCAGCAUAAUGUCCUCCAAUUCCAUCUAUCUUGUCACAAAUGACAGAACUUCUUUCUUUUUUACAGCUGAAUAGUAUACCACUGUGUGUAUACACCAUACUUUAUCCAUUCAACCGUUGUUGGAUGAUUAGGUUGAUUCCGUAACUUUCGAAUAGUGCUGCAGUGAGCAUGGGCAUGCAGACCACAUGUCUGCUUUUGAUCUUUUGAACAAGGACUCAGACCCCAGUGACUCACACAUUUUCUUAUUAAAAAAAAAGUAUACGUAUAAAUUAUAUAUGUGUACAUAUAUGAUAUAUACAUAUGUUAUGUGACCAUAUCUAUACACACAUGUAUAUACACACAUACAGCAAGGGUCUCCAAAGACUUCAAACUAUAUGUAUGUAUAUAUAUAGAUAGAUGUGCACACCACUGCACCCGGCCAACUUUUGUGGUUUUUUUUUAGUACAGAGGGGGUUUCGCCAUGUUGGCCAGGCUGGCCUCGAACUCCUGACCUCAGGUGAUCUGCCCACCUCGGCCUCCCAAAGUGCUGGGAUUACAGGCAUGCACCACCACGCGCAGCCUAACUAUCUAUCUAUAUAUAUAUAUACGUAUAGAUAGAUGGACAGAUGUUCCUUGCAGCUUUCCUUUGGAGAUGGCUUACAGCUCUGGAGAGAACCCGGGGUCCCAGCACCUUUGCCAUUAUAACCCAUGAGACCUAAGGGUCAGCGAAGGGGCAAAGAGGUCCUGGAAACCAUCUUGCAUCAGUAUAGUCCCUCAUCAGAGGAAUAAAGUGGAGCCUCAGGAGGUAAAGGACGGCUGGUGUCACCAGCUAGAUCAGGGAUGUGUUGACUCCCAUUCCAUCGGAGGGAUCUGGGACCCUGCAAGUGACGCUGAGGCGUGGUCCUGCAGCAUUCCCGGGUCCCCCUGGAUUGCUGCACCGUGUCUCAGCCUGAACUGGACCACCUCUGCUCACACUGCAUGCAUGUUACUGCCUGUGACCGGAAGCACUCUAGUCGGGUUGCCCAUCCCCUCACAUACUCAUCAGCUUUAUUUCUUGCCACUUGCAAGAAAGUGAGAGCCCGAAGAGUAAUGCCCAGGCAGUAAGAGAGGCGAAGCAUCUGAUAGAGCCUUCUUCCCACUUUUAUCUAAUCCGAUCCAUUUUCAGUAGCUUUUCUGCAUAAGAGAGCCUCUUCACAUGGACAUCCAUGCAUCCACCCACGCGUCCACCCACGCGUCCACCCACGCGUCCACCCACGCGUCUACCCAUGCGUCCACCCAGUCGUUCAAAACACAUUUUCCUUUCCUUCUAGUUUACUGAGCACCUACUCUAUGUCAGGUGCUAUAUUCACCAGCUUACAGUAGAAUGAUGACCAAGUGAAGAUGUUGGCCCUAAGGAAAAUAAGUGGCUGCUCUUUGAUUCUUCCAGGGAGCAGAUUUUGAUUAGAGAAAGGAGUCCAAAUAGUACAAGGCAGGAAAGACGGGAGGGGCACAGAACAGUGAGGUUGAGGCUGCAGAGAGUGGGGAGGUGGUUGCUAAAAGACUCUUCACUUACAAUUCACGCAGCAAAACUGACCACCUGCCAAACUCCAUCCGGGGAGAGGUCUGGGUGCAGAGACCCCCAAAUAGCCUAGGCAGACAGGUGUGGGGCCACCCUCAGUGCAAGGCGAGGGCUUGUGGGGUCCUUCCAGAGGUUGCUGAAGGUGAUGAGCUGCCAUGAAAGAUGGUAACGUCUUUCCCGUAGGCACAAGAGGAGAAAACAGUGCGUGGUGCAUAGAGACCUUUGCAGUGCAGAAGGGGUUAUUAUUAUUACAAGCCAGAUGUGCCCCACUUGUUACUGAAUCAUCGGGUUGACUCUAAGUUUUAAAAUCCAAUUUCCAGGCCCUCUUCACCUGCCAGCUGGGCAACAGCAGUUACUCUCAUUGGAGACCCUUUCCCUUCGCCACUUCCCAGGCUACUCCAGACUGAAUGCAUUCAGGGAGUCACCUCCCAGGUCAAAACCUGCUGUGAUACCAUCACCCUGCAGCACAGACCACAGUCCCAAGCCUCCCAUUCUUGACUCUAACACCAGCCCAGCCUGACCUGCUGCAGGGUGUGGCCUGUGACCACAUCUGUGCUCCGUCCACGCUGCUUCGUCCAGCCUCCCACGCCGAUCCCCAGAGUAGCUCCCCGGGAUGCUCUCUCCUCAUCACUGCAUCUGCCGCCCGCCCAGGCCCUCUGACUUUACCCUCCCGCAGGCCCCUCCCGUCUGAGGUGCUCUGGAAUGCCUGUGGUGUGAUUGUGCAUGAACUUUUACGUGCCUGCGUCCAUGCUCGAGAGCGGUCUUGCCUGAACCACCUUGUCUCAAUAAUCAGCAUGAAACUCCUCAAAAGAAACAGAGAGGCCCCUCAGAACAUCACGGAAAAGACGAUGGCUCCAAAACAGCUAGAUUCUAAUCCCAGCUCUGCUGCGGGGCGCGGCCUCGGGCACACCUGUGCUCCGUGCAUGUGACGUGACUCUCAAAAGCAUCCAUUUCCUCAUCUGGAAAACGGGACAGUUCCUGGACUCUGCGCACCUGGAAGUGACCAUGAGGGUCAAAUGUUUCUCAAACUGCAAAUGCUUUUCAGAUGCUGGCGCCGUGACCAAAGACCUGGCUCUUACAUCUGCUCUGUUUUCAUGGGACACAGCCCUGGGUAUACAGUAGGUGCUUAAUGCAGGUGACCGUGAGGAAGGGCUGUGGCCCGUGGAGGGCAGGCAGGUGGGAUUCAGCUGAGGUCCUCAAAGGCUGCACUAUGGGAAAGGCUGAGCGGCAGGAAAGGGACAGACAGGCCCUCCUCCUGGGGCCCAGGGCUGGGAACCAGAGCCCCUCCUUUGGCCACUCUGAGGUGGAAGAACAAGGAGCACAUAGGAGGAGUGGCCCAGGCUCUCCACCUGAGGACAUUCGGAGGACCUAGAAGCACUGGCAGAGCCUGAACGUGGCACCGUAGCCUCCUGCUGGCUGGAGAUGUGUCUGGGCGGUGUGUCUUGGCAUGGAAUCCACAGCCAGCUAGCCUGAGGCGGGGAUGGGGCCAGGACCCCCGGCUGUACAGACGGAGAGCCAGAGGCGGUUGCAGGUUCCCAACCGACAGCGGAGCUGAUGAGUGGCGGGGCUUUCAUUUGUUGACAGGAGAUGCAUGUCUGAGGCCAGAGCCAACUUCUUCCAGGGAGCGGCUUCCUUCCUCCUCAAAGGACACAGGGGACACAGAUGUCCAGGAGGCUGUUUAGAGAGGGCCCGAGUGGUGAGCUGUGCAGGGGUCCUCACGCCCCGGCCCCGUCUUGGAUAUGGGGCUGGAGACUUAGGAAGUGAGUGCUGGGUCCUGGGGUUCCCUCAUCCGCCUUCAGGAAGAUGUGAAGGGGCUUCCUGCGGCCUUUGGCAGCAUUCAUCCCAAACCCCAAAGCCUCCUUCCCCUGGCUCCGUGGCAGGAGCAGUUGCAUUCUCCUGUCUGAGAGGGGCCACCUCCUUCCCACCUUGCCCUCUAAGUUGGCUCAGGCUGCGCAGGGCUCAGGCUGAGGUCCAGACCCUCAUGCCAGCUUGGUGCUUGGCCAGAGCUGCAAAAUUGGAGCUGGGCUGCCAGGGGGAGGGCACCGCUGAGGCCUUCUAGGCCCAGACGGGCUGAGAGAGCCCCCGCCCCCCACCCCAGCCUCACCCUCCACCCGAGGCCCCUGUCAUGGGUGUGGGUGACUCAGAGGAAGUUCUGGUUUCUGUCAGAUUUUGAGGCUGAGGCAACCUGAUCCUGAAACAAUGACAAGCCUCAGAACGGUCCUUCCCACUCCCUCAGAGGAGCGUUUCAGGCCUGGCCAAUAACACAGCAGAACGGAAAAUGACUUUGGGAAGGAAAGGUCAGGCGGCUAGGCCUCCCAUGGAAGGCAGCAGGCGGUUGCUCAGGUCAGAGGGCCAAGUGGCGCGGUCUGUGGGCACCGGCAGCUGGCAGUGACCCUGCAGAUCAACCUGGGCCCGGGCUGCAGACACCAAGCAGGGGCACCUGCCUGGCCUGGCUGCCUCAUGUGGCCCCCACAGCCUUUGUCAGGACACCUCAGGACAGUGGCCUGGCCUCUAGGCCAGUGGGCCAGCUCGGGGUGCUAAAGCCUAAUUUGCCUGGAGCCCCGGGCCACUCAUAGAUUCAGGAGGAAGAGGUGGGGUAGAGGUGGCAGAGGGAGAGCAGAGCCUGGCACACAGCAUUUGGCACCAUAACUGAGGCAGCUGCUUUCCUUAAGGAGCUGCCACUGACAGGAUCAGCACUUACAGAGCCCCUGCUGUAUGCCAGGAAGUACAUUUAUUAUUGCUUCUUGUCACAUUGGCCCUGCCAGGUAUGUACCCCAAACAUUAGCCUCAUUUCACAGAUAAGAAAAUUGAGGCUUCCGUGAUUAAGCAGAGGCUGUGAUGUCCCAUCCAGAGCCCCAGCCACCCAGCUCUCCUGCAGGACAGGAGAUACCUACUAGCCUGCUUCUCGAUUAUUCUUUUCUUCCCUGCCACCUUGGGAAUAUCCCUCCCACUUGCAAGCACAGGUCGGCUAUGCCAGGGGAGUCUGUGCCCCAGGGCCCCUUCAUCCAUGGGGAUGGGAGUCUGUAGAAAUGCUCACCUCCGCCCUCUCCAGUGGGGACAUUGGAGGCCUGUGUCCCACAGUCUCCCUGAGGGCCCAGUGGGUUGAGCCCAUUGCCCGCAGUGGAAACCCCUCAUUCAUGGACCUGUCUCCCUCCCCUGCCUCCCCCUCCACCUCCACCCCUGCCCUGCCCUUCCUCGGAUCACUUCAUGCACCCAAGUCCUCAUUGCAGUCUGCUUGAGGGGGAUCCCACAUGUAGCCAUGCCCCUUCCAGGCAGAGAGAAGCAGCACAGGCCCCUGGCUGAGUGUGCCACGGCGGGUGCAGCAGGAGUGCAAACGCAGAGUUCAACUCGGCAUCCAGCUGGAACCCAUGUUAACUUGCGUUUGACCAGCGUAAGAGAGACAAGAAGAUGAGUAGAACUGUAGCAGUCAAAAUGCUUCAGCUGCAGGUAAUAGGAAGUCCAGCUCAAACCGGUUUAAGCGGAGGCCAGGGGCUGCAGGGUGGGCAUCUCCCAUGGCACCUGCUCUGGUCCCUCAGUCCCCCUGAGUGGUGCACACUUCCCUCCACAAGGUGUGUUGCCGGGUGGCCACGGCUGUCCUGGGCUCGCAUUUGCUCAUGACAGUGUCUGGAGAGCUCCGCCUUUGAGGGCUCUUCCUGGGGCCUCUAACGAGAGAGGACUGGGGGGACCACGACAAAAAAUAUCUGGGUUCUUGAGACAGCAGAAAAGGUGGUGGAAGCUGGGUGAGUAGCCAGACAGUAUCUACUAGAAUUUUUUUUUCUCCAAUUUAAGUUUCUCCCUGGUGAGUUCUUAACCCGCCGCUGACUGGCCAAUGCUAGCAGACGGACACAGGGAACAAACAAGUGGCAUAUUAAUCUUCAUGGAAAAGCCUAGAAACGGGCAGUCCUUUCACAGCAGUUCUGUGUCUACAGUGAACACAUGGGCUGUGUUUAACUGUGUAAACACAAUAAAGUUGUGUUAUGGAAGUGAACUUGUUCCUGACUGGCAGAUGGAUUUAAAUGUAAGAGUGGUCCAUGGGCCCCUCCACGGAGCUGAUGCUGCCCCAGCAUCCUUCCUAUGGCCCUUCAGCCUCUGGCUAUUGGUCUUCCUGUAUCCAUGCACGGCUGAGCUGGAGGCCAACACAGGAGCAGCCAUUCCAGGCAGGUCUGGGCAGGGGUCCCUGGCGUGUAGCUCUGGAGGGAGUGGGGCUGUGUAAGCUCAGCGUCUUGUCUCCCUCACUGAAAAUACAGGACACAAUGGAACAGAAUAGAGAGCCCAGAAAUAAGGCUGAACACCUACAACCAUCUGAUCUUCAACAAAGCUGACAAAAACAAGCAAUGGGGAAAGGACUUCCUUUCAAUAAAUGGUGCUGGGAUAGCUGGCUAGCCAUAUGCAGAAAAUUGAAACUGGACCCCUACCUUACACCAUAUACAAAAAUCAACUCUAGAUGAAGUAAAGACUUAAAGGGAAAAUCUAAAACUAUAAACACCCUGGAAGACACCUUAGUAAAUACCAUUCUGGACAUAGAACUUGGAAAUAUUUCAUGAUAAAGAUGCCAAAGCAAUUGCAACAAAAACAAAAAUUGACAAAUGGAAUCUAAUAAAACUAAAGCACUUCUGCACAGCAAAUCAACAGAAUAAACAGACAACCUAAGAGUAGGAGAAGAUAUUUGCAAACUAUGCAUCUGACAAAGAUCUAAUAUCCAGCAUCUAUAAGGAACUUAAACAAAUGUACAAGCAAAAAACAACCCCAUUCAGAAGUGGGCAAAAGACAUAAACAGACACUUCUCAAAAGAAGACAUACAUGCGGCCAAAAAGCAUAUGAAAAAAUGCUGAAUAUCACUAAGCAUUAGAGAAAUGCAAAUCAAAACCACAAUGAGAUACCAUUGCACACCAAUCAAAAUGCCUAUUUUUUUUUUUU
rnacentral:lncRNA from 1 species